UUUCUUUUGCUUUGUUUUCAACCAAACAAAUAAGCGUCGCGUGAUUUUCCUCGUUAUUUCACUUAAUAAUAGCUAAUCCUUUCUUUACAAUCGAAGAGAAUCGGCCUCUUGAGUUUGGUUCAAUCUGGAAAUUCGGUUUUUUGAGAAAAAUCCUUGAGGAAUUUUCUCUGCCGAUAUUUCUGUUGCGAUCAGGAGAUCUUCGUUGAGAAUUAGAUGGAUACCAAUAACUAGAGGUCUACUCCUCCCAGUGGAGAGCCGCCCAUGGAUUCAGGUGAUUGGAGAGCCCAAUUGCAGCCAGAUUCACGACAAAGAAUAGUCAACAAGAUAAUGGAUACACUGAAGAGGCACCUUCCAUUUUCUGGUGAAGAGGGUCUAAAUGAACUCAGGAAAAUUGCUAAGGUUCGAGGAAAAGAUUUUUGCAACUGCAACCAGUCAGACUGAUUAUCUAAGGAGAAUCAUCUUUGAAGAUGCUUACAAUGGAGUACAAGUCUCAGAAUGCUAUACCCAACACAGGGAAUAACAGCAAACCACCUGAUCCAGGUUCUCAAGGCAUGCAGAGCCAAGUUCGCAGUAAGGGACAAUCAGUUCCUAUCUCAUUACAAAGUAAUCAAUCUCAAGCACAACUGUUAUCCCAGAGUGUUCCAAAUAACAUUGCAUCUGCUGGUUUACAAUCUGGAAUGCCUGCUGUAUCUGGUCUAACCCAAAAUCCUGUACCUAAUGUUGUUGGCCAGAAUUCCAACAUGCAGACAGAACAUGUCUGGAAU